CUGCCCGCUCCCCUCUCCCCCACCCAGCCCUUCCCGUGGGACUUUUUCCCCUGCCCUUCUGGGCGUCCUGCGGCCCCUUACCUGGGCAGGAGACCGGCCUUGGCUCCUCUGCCCCCAUUAAACUCCUUCCUGGGGCCGAGUGGCUCUGGCACCGGGCAGGUUUGGUGCUGGUCUCGCAUCUUCCCCUUCUCCCCGCCGCGUCAGCUGGAGGACGAAGCCCGGAGCGGUGCGGGGUGGGCUCCUCAAAGUUCCCCUGCUGCUGCUGCCCGCUUGUGCUGGGUCUCAGGUCCUGCCCGUCCUGGUGCAAGCAGCUCCUUCCUCUGGUGUUGGCUGGCUCUGCGUGCGGAGCCAUCUGUCCUGGGGAGCGGCUGCUGCUGCUCCUGGCAACUCCUUCAGCUGUAGCAGAGCCGCCUUUUUGCUGGGUGUCUCCUGCUAACCAGGUCGCUUCCUCCUGUUUCCCUGGGUUUGUUAUAAAUCCGUCUGUGUAUGUUUUAAUUUGACCUGCGACCUCUUGGAAAGUCAAGGUAAAGGGGACAGGGAAAGUAAGUUGUGAGUCUCAAGAAGCCCGCCGAGUGAUUGAGUUGGGUCCCGGUGGUGCACGGACAGCUGAAGGCAUUUAUAGAUGCUAAAGGGGAGGGGAAGAGGGAUCUUCCUUCGGGGUGAACCAUGUAUCCGCAAAGACUUGCAGGGUGUGAAAUGGUGCUUUUUGUUUUUCAUGACCUUGAGUUCAGAGACUGAGAAACGCGGGCACAUCCAAACAGUUAGGAAUCGCAUCGCUCAGCUGAGAACGGGCCCGGCUGCUUUGGGGACGCUCUCCGCCUUGCUGGAGCUUUUUGGAAGGGCAGCAGGCCAGAGGUUUGGACUUUGGAGCUCGGCUCUGCAGGGUGCUCGGCCGUGUUGCUGCCUUAGCGCGUGUCUGCUUUGGGACCAUUCGAUGGUAAAACGAUGGGGUUGUUUGCGUUACGGGUGUCAGCGCUCUGCUCCUAGACUUCGAGCAAGUGUUUCAGGAAAAUUAGAAGAGCCAGCUGCGGAAAGCCAGUGAAUCUUCUUUGCACUGCAGGAGCAGGAGAGUCGGAGAAGUGAAGCACCGCUAACCGCAGGUGGGACGGGGUCUGCGCUUCAGGGUGCGGUUUGAGGAGAGGCUGGUACUGGGGACGGGGUGGUGGCGAUGCUCCUGAAGGGUGAUCGUGAAACGUGCUUCAGUGGUCCUCUAAAAAAGGACCAGAAAAGGUCUCGGUGAUCUCUUAGGUGUAGGCACAGUGGCGCUGCUUGUGUGAUCAUCGCUGGUACCAACAGCGUGGCUUUAUCCCAAAUUGUCCUUAAGUGGGACUUUAUCCUCUCGUUUCAUGAGUUGGUUGCGCUGGUUUAGGGAACAGCCAGGGAACUGCACGAGUGGUUAGGAAAUGGUAUUUCUGAAAGUGAACAGAACUUGUACGGCAGUGAGGUUUUGCCGAGAGAUGUCCUACAGAGAGCGACGUGCCUUUGGGGGUGGCGUUUGGACGGGCUCUCCGAAGGGACUCGGUGACUGGAAGCCUAUACGAGCCUAAGGGGUCGGAGGCGCUGGUUAUUCUUCUCCAGUUAGUUGUGGUUACUUUCCAGGAGCCUUACAAGGCUUAGGGGUUUUCACGCUUUCUACUGGGGUCAGUUUUUAGCUAAAUUGGAGGCAGAUGAUCCCCGUGUGCAACGGUGUGGUGCAGAAUUAGGUAUUUGUGGUGAGUGUGGGUCUGGGGCUGUGACCGGCUGUGCCUGAUGGAAAAAGUCUGACCUGGAAUGGGAGUUUGGGACUCCCUAAUUCCUAGCCUGUGAUUCCACAAUAAUUUAAGCUUGCCAAGGACUUUGCAGCUGUAGUUUCUUACUGCUGAAUACCUCUCGAGCAGCAAAGAACAGCAAGAAAAGCUCCUCGAGUCUCCUUGGCCAAGCACGCGUGUGUUCUGGGAGGCCUUUAUGCGUUUAACAGCGUUCAGUCAAACCUCUGUGUAAGCCAGAGAGACACCUUAGACUCAUGUUUUCCCAUUUGACUGUUUUUUUCCAGGCCUGUCCUCUUUUUUUUAAUAGUCAAACACUACAAAGUUUGCAUUGGCAUCUCAGGUAUGCCAGCCACUCAACAAUUUGCUGGUGUAUAGCCUUGGAUGCCGGUGUUAGUACGUUUAAGGUCAGUUUUGCAUCAAAUGUUUUGUUUUAGACCCUUAUUCACCCAGCUUUGCCAACCAAAGGACUGAUUUCGUGGGUGAUUUUGUUGACCUUUAACUGUUACGAGCUAAAGUGAAGACGUUGAUCUCUUGAGACCUGCUGAAGGAUGGUCUGCUGUGGACACCUCCAAGUUACUGCUGGGAAGCUCCACGGCACAGCUGCAAUCCUACAAAUCCUUGGUAUCACUCGCAGAGACACCAACCUGCGGUGUGUUCCUGUGCUCCUUCAGAAAAUGCGCGUGAAAUGAACUCCAGAACGCGUACAGCUUCGUGGCAGAAGAGACUUUGUUGGAGGGGAAGGGAAUUUGAGUCUGUCUUAAGGAGCAGGGGGAUUCCGAUGCUCAUAUUUUCUUCUGAACGUCCCGGUCGCACGGUCAGAGAGUAAAUUUACGGUAUUAUUAGUGGUUUUGCAGUAACUUAUUGAGAAGUAAAUGGGCUUCUUGGUGUGGGUUCUUUAUCUCUGCCGUGUGCAGAGUGGGAGGUCUGUGCCUUUCCAAGACCACGCGUUUCCCCAGGUGUAUGCUUCAGGUCAUUGGGUGAACUGUUGUGGCAGGUCGGUGUCAAAUAAAAAGGAGUUGUCUAGAAAUUAGCCA
rnacentral:lncRNA from 1 species